AUGGCCUCAACCCCUCUCCUGCUCCCCCUCCUCAUUCUCUGCACAGGCUCCGUGGCCUCCUAUGAGCUGACCCAGCCACCAUUAGUGUCCAUGUCCUUGGGACAGACGUCCAAGAUCACCUGCUCUGGAGACCUACUGGACAAAAAAUAUACAUCUUGGUACCAGCAGAAGCCAGGCCAGGUCCCUGUGCAGGUCAUUUAUAAGGAUAGCGAACGGCCCUCAGGGAUCCCUGACCGAUUCUCCGGUUCUAGCUCAGGCAAAAUUGCAACCCUGACCAUCAGCGGGGCCCAGGCCGAGGACGAGGCUGACUAUUACUGUGCAUCAGCUGACAGCAGUGGUGAUCGUCUGGCAUAUACUGGGGGCUCCAAAGUGGUCAUUUUAGUAAAGUAG